GGGCGGGUGGCGGAAUUGGUAGACGCACCACACUCAAAAUGUGGCGAUCGUGAGGUCGUAGGAGUUCGAUUCUCCUCCUGCCCA
rnacentral:tRNA from 1 species